CAGUUCUUUUGUGGUCGUGGUGGGGUCUAUUUGGCUUGUUUUCGUCGGGGUUUUCUUUGUGGUCUGGGCACGGUGGUUUGGCGGACUUCUGACAGGGUUUUUUUUGGGAGCCUUGUGUUGUUUUCGCCUUGGCGGGUUGGGACCGUCAACACGCGGGGCAAUUUCUACGGGACGUUCUUUUAAAAUUUGAGCGGCUCGUUCCAGCUGGUUGCCGACAUCCCAGCAGGCUAGGUUGACAGGUUAUCGUUGCACUAAUUUGCAUGGGUGACAGCUCCGGUCUUCGUGGGAAAAAGUGGGGGUGUGGAAUGCGAACUUGAAGGUUUAUCAAAGACGGUGACGAGCCAGACCGUUUCACAAUCAAAACCCCAAGACUAAAAAAAUAAAUAGUGUAUAAAUUGAAAAAAUAGCUACGGACAUGGAAUGUAUCAUCUGCAAAGAUGAUGAAAAUGGGCUUGUUGAGCUUACGUCGUGCUGCAAACAGGCAGCCCACCAUAAAUGUCUAGACCAAUGGUACAAAAACCAACGCUAUAGAGGACUCCAUGCCACGUGCCCACAUUGCCUGAAAGAAAUUUUUCCGCCACCACCACAGGCUAGAAGAAGGAUUACGGUCACCAUUACUGAUGAAGAAGUGGGUGCGGCGACGGUCACCAUAACCAGGGAGGACUUCUUCAUGGAAAGAGUAUCCAACUACCGAGAUGGAUGGGGUAUCGAGAAGUGGAUGGUCUCGGAACAGCCACACAAGGAUACCGGAACCAUUGAUUUCAGUACGGGACAGAGAAGAAGAUAAAUAAAUAAAACAGACCAUGUUUUAAAUAAAAGAGAACUGUAUUUUA